rnacentral:rRNA from 1 species
GUUUAUGGGCAUACGACCCUGAACAUGCCAGAUCUCAGAAGCUAAGCAGAGUCGGGCCUGUUUAGUACUUGGAUGGGAGAAUGUUUGAUGGCUUAAAGA